UUCUUGAAAAUUAAAAAAGCUGGCGGUAUUUUAGUCUAUUCAGAGGAACCUGUCCUAUAAUUGAUAGUYCACGAGUUAUUUUACUUAUCUUUAGUAGUUUACAUAUCGCCGUAGGUUGAAUAUUUUUUAAAAAUUAUUAAUGUUCAAGAUUUAUUUUAUAAAAAAAAUCAGGUCAAGAUGUAGCUUAUAGAUGAGAAGAGAUGGGUUACAAUAAAUUUAUUUAAAUGGAUUAAUAAAUGAGAUUUUAUUAUAAAGGUGGAUUUGAAGGUAAUUUUAUUUAAAUUAAUAGAAUGAUUCUAGCCCUAAAAUAUGUACAUAUCGCCCGUCGCUUUCACUUUAAGGUGAAAUAAGUCGUAACAGAGUAGGCGUACUGGAAAGUGUGCCUGGAAAGACAAAUUAGAGCUUGAUUAAAGCAUUUUAGUUACAUUAAAAAGAUUAUUGUAAAUUCAGUAUGAUUUGAAUAUAAAUGUUUAUUUAAAGUAGUAAUUUUUAUUUAUGUAUAAAAUAAGAAUAUUUAAUUUUAUUAGUAUUUAUGAAAAAAUAGGAUUAAUUAUAGGUGAUUAGUAUUGUGAAAGAAUAUUAUUUAUAUUUAUAUAAGAAAAAUUUAUUUUUUGUACCUGGGUAUCAGGGUUUAUUAAUUAUAAAUUAAAAUUUUAAUUUUCUCGAAUUAAUAAGGGCUAUUUUUAUAUAUUUAUUUUUGUUGAAUAAAAAUUAUUAAUAUAGAAAUAGAAAUGAAACAUUAUUCGGUUAUUAAUAUAUCUAGUUUUUUAAGAAAAAAAUUUAAUUUUAUUAUUAUAAAAUAUAUUGUUAAAUUAGUAACUUUAUAUUUAUAAUAUUUUAUAUUUUAAGGGAUGAGCUUUAAGGUAAAUUUUUUUAAAUUUUAUAAUUUAAUGUUAAUUAAGUAGGAUUAUAAGUUUCUAUCUUUAAAAUUGUGUUGUAACUAUUUUAACUUAAAAUAUUAUUUAUAUUUAUUUAAAAUUUUUUAUUAAAAUUUAAUUUUUAAUUUUAAAAAUUUAGUAAUAAUGAUAAAAUUAGUAUAAAUUUUUGUAUAGUUAUAUUUAUUUAUUAGGUUAAGUAAAGGAACUCGGCAAAUAGAUUUUUCACCUGUUUAUUAAAAACAUGGCCUUUUGAUUAUAAUUUAAGGUCUGGCCUGCCCAAUGAAUGAGAAUUUAAAUGGCCGCGGUAUUUUGACCGUGCAAAGGUAGCAUAAUCAUUAGUUUUUUAAUUGAAAGCUGGAAUGAAAGGUUGAAUGAAAAAAUGACUGUCUCUGCUUAAAUUUUUUAGAAAUUUAUUUUUAAGUAAAAAAGCUUAAAUUUUUUUAGAAGACGAGAAGACCCUAUAGAGUUUUAUUUAUUUUUAUUAUUAAAUUUUUAGUAUUAAU
rnacentral:rRNA from 1 species